rnacentral:rRNA from 1 species
AUCUCGGCUCUCGCAUCGAUGAAGAACGUAGCGAAAUGCGAUACUUGGUGUGAAUUGCAGAAUCCCGUGAACCAUCGAGUCUUUGAACGCAAGUUGCGCCCGAAGCCAUUAGGCCGAGGGCACGUCUGCCUGGGCGUCACGCAUCUCGUCGCCCCCGCGCA